AUGGCAGCCGUUGCCGCUCAGUUGACAAGCAGCUCAAGUGAGGUAACCUACAACUAUGUUUCCAAGGCUGAAGCCUCCUUCUCGCGUCUACUUCUGACUGAUGACGGAGUAUACCAACGCCUGGUAUGGGACCCAACCAGCCGGUUGUGGAAGAUCUUCUUCCAAGCGCCGAGGGACAUCUGCGACCACUAUGGCAGGUGUGGGCCAUUUGGUCUGUGCAACGCCAAUGCUCCAUCAACGUCGUUCUGCAGCUGUGUACAGGGGUUCAGCCCGACAUCUCCAGUGCAGUGGAAGAUGAGGGACACCUCCAACGGUUGCCGCCGAAAGAUUGUACUGGACUGUGGCAAUGGAAUGUCCAGUACCACGGACGGUUUCGUGGUGAUAGACGGAGUGAAGCUUCCCAACACGCACAAUGUAUCGGUGAAUGCUAGCAUCACGUUGGAGGAGUGCAGGGCGAGGUGCCUGGCCAACUGCUCUUGUUUGGCGUAUGCGCCGUUGGAUCUCAAAGGAGGAGGCGCUGGAACUGGCUGCAUCAUCUGGACAGAGGACCUCAUGGAUCUCCAGUAUGUAGAUGGAGGGCAAAUCCUUUAUCUCAGAUCCACCAAGUCAGAUUUAGAUGGGCCAUCUGUAUCCAUGUUCCCAACUGGUAUCGUUAUCGGUGUAUCCGUAGCCUUGAUCAUCAUUCUGGUUCUCCUUGCCUUCUGGGUUAUUAUCACCAGGAGACGACAUCGCAUGCAAAGGGUAUUAGUACACAAUGGUCUGAGGGUGACAGGGGGUUCUGACAGCCAUUCUCCGAAUCCCGCUUCGCCCAUGAUGUCCGUCCCUACAAUUGAUCUCCAUACUAUAAUAGAGGCUACAGGAAGUUUCUCCGAUGCAAAUAAAGUUGUUGAAGAAGGAUUUAGUGUUGUCUACAAGGGGCAACUACCUGGUGGUACAGUGGUUGCUGUAAAGAGGCUCAAACAGUCUCUUCUUACUGAUAAAGGCAGGCAGCAUUUCUCAAGGGAAGUGGAAGUGAUGUCAACGCUUACCCAUGUCAAUCUUGCUAAGCUCCUCUACUAUUGCCGGGAAGGAGAUGAGUGGAUACUAGUCUACGAGUGGAUGGAGAAAAAAAGUUUGAAUCUUUACAUAUUUGGAGAAGAAGGACUCCGUUCCUCACUGAGUUGGGCGCAAAGACGGGAAAUAAUUCGAGGUGUGGCCAUAGGUGUUGAAUUUCUUCACGGCAGAGGAUUCAUUCACAGGGAUCUAAAACCUGCGAGCAUACUUGUCAGUGACACGUGGGUUCCAAAGAUAGCAGACUUUGCCACCGCAAAGCUAUUUAUUGACGAGCAGACAAAUUUGACAUUAGUACAGACACGGGGAUAUGUGGCUCCAGAGUAUAUAGGGGAAGGGGCCCUGACGUACAAGUGUGAUGUAUAUAGCUUUGGAGUCGUUUUGCUGGAGACAGUCAGUGGCAAAAGGAGAACAAGCAAUGCAACGUUCCUUCCUGAUGCCUGGGAAUUGUGGAAUCAAUGUAAGAGCGGGGAGCUUCUUGAUGUGGCGGUGGGUGGUGAACCUGAAGGUGAAGUCUUGUCGGGGCUACUCAGAUGCAUCCAGAUUGGCCUUCUCUGCGUGCAGUAUUUGCCAGAGCAUAGACCUUCAAUGUCUGAAGUUGUGGCAAUGCUAAACAACAGCUCAUAG
rnacentral:rRNA from 1 species